rnacentral:rRNA from 1 species
UACAGGGGGGGCAAGCGUUAUUCGGAAUUAUUGGGCGUAAAGGGCGCGUAGGCGGCCUGGCAAGUGGAAGGUGAAAUCCCUCGGCUUAACCGAGGAACUGCCCUCCAAACUGCUUGGCUUGAGUCCGGGAGAGGUGAGUGGAAUUCCCAGUGUAGCGGUGAAAUGCGUAGAUAUUGGGAGGAACACCAGUGGCGAAGGCGGCUCACUGGACCGGUUCUGACGCUGAGGCGCGAAAGCGUGGGGAGCAAACGGG